rnacentral:rRNA from 1 species
AGCGCAGGCGGGAAGACAAGUUGGAAGUGAAAACCAUGGGCUCAACCCAUGAAUUGCUUUCAAAACUGUUUUUCUUUGAGUAGUGCAGAGGUAGAUGGAAUUCCCGGUGUAGCGGUGGAAUGCGUAGAUAUCGGGAGGAACACCAGUGGCGAAGGCGGUCUACUGGGCACCAACUGACGCUGAGGCUCGAAAGUGUGGGUAGCAAACA